GUGAAAAUGGAGACAGUCAAAAUGAAAUGGAGAAAACUGCCUAGGACAUUUUCAAGAGCGAUUUAUGGAAGAGAGAAGUUACCAUCAGGAAAGGAAGAAAUUUAGCCAUCCCCAGUGGGUCAAGGAAGACCCACAAAGGAAACAACUGAUCAUCUUGAUCACUUCAACUUUGGAUACAUUUCUCAGUGGGUCAAUUCUUAUGAUGCUUUUCUUUAUCUUAUACUGUAUCUCUAUAUUUUAUUAUCUCCAAAGCAUCAUCAUCAGCUAUAAUUUUUUAAUAAUUUGCAAUGAAUUUUUAACCAAUUGAUGCAAUUAAUAAUUACGAAGAAAAUCUACUCAUUCUGUUUAGUACUAAAUGUAUCUAUCUAUAUUAAUUUAUGCAAAAAAUAUGUAAGGAUACUGUGCAUAUAAAAGUCUAUUUCAUAAAUGCUAUCGAUAACUGCCUUGUUAGUAACCCAUUUUUUAUGAGAUGACAAAGAAUCCUCAGAAUAAAUUCUGAUGGUUUCCUUA
rnacentral:lncRNA from 1 species